rnacentral:tRNA from 1 species
CGGGGCGUGGCUCAGCUUGGUAGAGCACUGCUUUCGGGAAGCAGUUGUCGGAGGUUCAAAUCCUCUCGCCCCGA